rnacentral:tRNA from 1 species
GGGCCAUUACGGAUUUGACAAUCGAUAACUUCGGUUGGACGUGAGUUCGAAUCUCACAUGGUCCA